UACGUAGGGUGCGAGCGUUAAUCGGAAUUACUGGGCGUAAAGCGUGCGUAGGCGGUUCGCUGUGUCCGAUGUGAAAGCCCCGGGCUUAACCUGGGAAUGGCAUUGGAAACUGGCGGGCUUGAGUGCGGCAGAGGGGGGGUGGAAUUCCGCGUGUAGCAGUGAAAUGCGUAGAGAUGCGGAGGAACACCGAUGGCGAAGGCAGCCCCCCUGGGUCGACACUGACGCUCAGGCACGAAAGCGUGGGGAGCAAACAGG
rnacentral:rRNA from 1 species